UGGUUCUCGCAUCGAUGAAGAACGCAGCGAAAUGCGAUAAGUAAUGUGAAUUGCAGAAUUCAGUGAAUCAUCGAAUCUUUGAACGCACAUUGCGCCCCAUGGUAUUCCGUAGGGCACGUCUGUCUGAACGUCAUUAUAUACUCAGGCUCAGCCUGGUGAUGGGGGUGGCUAGCGCCGCUUCAGUAAACCGUCGGCGGAGGCCGCCGUGGGCCGAUACGAUGAACAUCUUUGUCGGACCCUAGGUGGGCAGCCUGCCAUAAGAACCAGGAUUGACUUCAGGUCAGACGAGGUUACCCGCUGA
rnacentral:misc_RNA from 1 species